UACGUAGGGGGCAAGCGUUGUCCGGAUUUAUUGGGUUUAAAGGGUGCGUAGGCGGUCUUAUAAGUCAGUGCUGAAAUAUCCCGGCUUAACCGGGAGGGUGGCAUUGAUACUGUAGGACUUGAGUGAAGUCGAGGUAGGCGGAAUUGACGGUGUAGCGGUGAAAUGCUUAGAUAUCGUCAAGAACACCAAUAGUGAAGACAGUUUACUAGACUUCAACUGACGCUGAGGCACGAAAGUGUGGGGAUCAAACAGG
rnacentral:rRNA from 1 species